AUGAACGCUGGCGGCGUGCCUAACACAUGCAAGUCGAACGGAGAUUAAACGCUGAUGAGGCUUCGGCGGAAUCUGUUAAUCUUAGUGGCGGACGGGUGAGUAACGCGUGGGCAACCUGCCUCAUACUGGGGGAUAGCAGUUGGAAACGACUGAUAAUACCGCAUAAGCGCACGGUGUCGCAUGACACAGUGUGAAAAAACUCCGGUGGUAUGAGAUGGGCCCGCGUCAGAUUAGCUAGUUGGUAAGGUAACGGCUUACCAAGGCGACGAUCUGUAGCCGGACUGAGAGGUCGGACGGCCACAUUGGGACUGAGACACGGCCCAAACUCCUACGGGAGGCAGCAGUGGGGGAUAUUGCACAAUGGAGGAAACUCUGAUGCAGCGACGCCGCGUGAAGUGAAGAAGUAUUUCGGUAUGUAAAGCUCUAUCAGCAGGGAAGAAAGACUCGCAAGAGAGAUGACGGUACCUGACUAAGAAGCCCCGGCUAACUACGUGCCAGCAGCGGC
rnacentral:rRNA from 1 species